rnacentral:lncRNA from 1 species
CUUUGCAGAGUCAGGGCAAUUCUAUGAUAAAUAUUUUCCAGGAAUGUGCUAAACAAAUCUCUUGUUUCAGAAAGUAGCAAUUGCAAUGCCAUAUCUUCAUAUUCAUUUAGAGUUGUAUUCUUGGGUUAAAUCCAAAUGGUACCAUAGAGCAGGGUUUACCAAACUCUACCCUGGGGUCCCCCCUUGACGAAACAUUUUGUUAUUUGCCCUAGCACUACACAGCUGAUUCAAAUAAUCAUUCAUCGUCAAGCUUUGAUUAUCAAAUCAGCUGUGUAGUGCUAGGGCAAAAAACUAAAUGUGCACCAAGGGGGGACCCCCAGGGUAGAGUUUGGUAAACCCUGGCAUAGAAGAGGGACUCUAUGUAUGGCAGAAAACAUUUACAAAAAAAGUUUUUUUGCACUGUAAUUACAGAACAUGUCCAUAAUACAUCUGCCACUGAUAGUGGAAUGAUAGUGUUUCACAGUGUUGUGAUUGGCUGUGAUAUUUGGCUAUUAAUUUAUCCCGCCGUGAUAUCUAGUGGAAAUUAGCCUGUUUGCUACAAUUCUACACUGUUCACUAAAUUUCAGUUACAGUGCAUUCGGAAAGUAUUCAGAAACAUUCCCCUUUUCCACACUGUGUUACGUUACAGCCUUAUUGUAAAAUUAAUUAAAUAAAAACAUUUCCUCAUCAAUCUACACACAAUACCCCAUAAACACAAAGCGAGAACAGGUUUUUAGAAAUGUUUGCAAAUUUAUAAAAAACUAAAACAAAAAAUACCUUAGUUACAUAAGUAUUCAGACCCUUUGCUAUAAGUCUCGAAAUUGAGCUCAGGUGCAUCUAUAACGACACAAGGCGAGACCCAGAUGCAGACACAGGAGGCAGAUGGUUUGAGUCUCUGAUAUUUAUUGAACAAUGAGGGGAAGGCCAGAGACAGGCAAGAGUUCAUAACUAGGUCAGGGUCAAAACAGUACAAGGCGGCAGGCAGGCUCGAGGUCAGGGGCAGAAAGAAUGGUCAGGCAAUCGAGCUCAGUGUCAGGGCACGCAAAAGGUCAGGACCGGGAGGACUAGAGAAAAGAGGCUAGGAAGAACAGGAGCUUGGAAAACACUGGUUGACUUGGCAAGACAAGACAGACUGGCAACAGACAAACAGAGAACACAGGUAUAAAUACACUGAGGGUAAUAGGGAAGAUGGGUGACACCUGGAGGGGGGUGGAGACAAUCACAAGGACAAGUGAAACGAAACAGAUCAGGGUGUAACAGCAUCCUGUUUCCAUUGGUCAUGCUUGAGAUGUUUCUACAACUUGAUUGGCGUGGUAAAUUGGUUAGACAUGAUUUGGAAAGGCACACAUCUGUCUAUAUAAGGUCCCAAAGUUGACAGUGCAU